UUUCCUGUGGCUCAGUCAGUAGAACACAGUGCUAUCAAAGCCCAGAUUUUGGAUUCAAAUCCCAGCAAGAAAU